rnacentral:rRNA from 1 species
AGCCGAGCGGUAGAGAUCUUUCGGGAUCUUGAGAGCGGCGUACGGGUGCGGAACACGUGUGCAACCUGCCUUUAUCUGGGGGAUAGCCUUUCGAAAGGAAGAUUAAUACCCCAUAAUAUACUGAAUGGCAUCAUUCGGUAUUGAAAACUCCGGUGGAUAGAGAUGGGCACGCGCAAGAUUAGAUAGUUGGUGAGGUAACGGCUCACCAAGUCUACGAUCUUUAGGGGGCCUGAGAGGGUGAUCCCCCACACUGGUACUGAGACACGGACCAGACUCCUACGGGAGGCAGCAGUGAGGAAUAUUGGACAAUGGGUGAGAGCCUGAUCCAGCCAUCCCGCGUGAAGGACGACGGCCCUAUGGGUUGUAAACUUCUUUUGUAUAGGGAUAAACCUACCCUCGUGAGGGUAGCUGAAGGUACUAUACGAAUAAGCACCGGCUAACUCCGUGCCAGCAGCCGCGGUAAUACGGAGGGUGCAAGCGUUAUCCGGAUUUAUUGGGUUUAAAGGGUCCGUAGGCGGAUCUGUAAGUCAGUGGUGAAAUCUCACAGCUUAACUGUGAAACUGCCAUUGAUACUGCAGGUCUUGAGUGUUGUUGAAGUAGCUGGAAUAAGUAGUGUAGCGGUGAAAUGCAUAGAUAUUACUUAGAACACCAAUUGCGAAGGCAGGUUACUAAGCAACAACUGACGCUGAUGGACGAAAGCGUGGGGAGCGAACAGGAUUAGAUACCCUGGUAGUCCACGCCGUAAACGAUGCUAACUCGUUUUUGGAAUGUAAGUUUCAGAGACUAAGCGAAAGUGAUAAGUUAGCCACCUGGGGAGUACGAACGCAAGUUUGAAACUCAAAGGAAUUGACGGGGGCCCGCACAAGCGGUGGAUUAUGUGGUUUAAUUCGAUGAUACGCGAGGAACCUUACCAAGGCUUAAAUGGGAAAUGACAGGUUUAGAAAUAGACUUUUCUUCGGACAUUUUUCAAGGUGCUGCAUGGUUGUCGUCAGCUCGUGCCGUGAGGUGUUAGGUUAAGUCCUGCAACGAGCGCAAC